rnacentral:rRNA from 1 species
CAGCAGCCGCGGUAAUACAGAGGGUGCGAGCGUUAAUCGGAUUUACUGGGCGUAAAGCGUGCGUAGGCGGCUUUUUAAGUCAGAGGUGAAAGCCCGGGGCUCAACCCCGGAUGUGCCUUUGAGACUGCAGAGCUAGAAUCGCGGAGAGGGAGUGGAAUUCCGAGCGUAGAGGUGAAAUUCGUAGAUAUUCGGAAGAACACCAGUGGCGAAGGCGGCUCACUGGACGCGUAUUGACGCUGAGGUGCGAAAGCGUGGGGAGCAAACAGGAUUAGAUACCCGCGUAGUCCCUGUCUCUUAUACA